UUAGCUCAUAUUUGUAUGGAAUGGGAUCGUUUGUCUACGUUUGCCGCUAGGGGCGCUGUUCCAACUGCAUACAAAUUUGAGUUA
rfam:Bombyx mori DNA, contig: Bm_scaf5_contig4468, strain: p50T/Dazao, build 2, whole genome shotgun sequence.